ensembl:lncRNA
CAUCUUUCAGGAUUUGAAAUAGCUCAACUGGAAUUACAUCACCUCCAGUAGCUUUGUUCAUAGUGAUGCUUCCUAAGGCCCACUUGACUUCACAUUCCAGGAUGUCUGGCUCUAGGGCUGGAAUGCAGAAGUGGAGCCAGAGAAUAAUCUUUAACCGUGGGGAUGAGGAUAUGGGAAGGCUAUCAAAUAGAAAGAACCUGUGACUCUGAAUGUUCAGAAGAGGGAUGAAGAACGAGUCACUGGGCUGUCAUCUUCCAGUGAGGUGUGCUGCCAGCUGGUGAGGAUGACUUCCAGUUCCCCACACCUGCUGGAACUCUCUAGCUAUUUCCACGACAUUCGAUUUCUGCUGACAGCUCCUGGGUGUGGACCAGCCCCAUCUCUGAAGGGAUGUGUUGCAUCCUAGAGGCCGUGCUGUGUCCCUGCUGACCACAUGCUCCAUGCCCUCACCAGCUGCUGCACCGCUCUCGCUGGUGGACAAUGCUGACUGCAUGUCCCACCUUCAAAGAUGACUUUCCCUGGUUCCCAAGUCAGUGUUUGCAAUGUGAGAAUCAGGCCUCCUGCUGCAUGUGUAUGAACAGACAACAUUGUCCCAGACCCAAGUUGACUAAACAAGUGAC